rnacentral:rRNA from 1 species
CGCGCAGGCGGUCUUCUACGUCUGGGGUGAAAACCCGGGGCUCAACCCCGGGACUGCCUUGGAUACGGGGAGACUUGAGGAUCGGAGAGGCAAGGGGAAUUCCACGUGUAGCGGUGAAAUGCGUAGAGAUGUGGAGGAACACCUGUGGCGAAGGCGCCUUGCUGGCCGAUUUCUGACGCUGAGGCGCGAAAGCGUGGGGAGCAAACA